UGUUCCGAUGUUUCGAGGAGCUUCACCUCGGCGAAUGCGGAGGGGCCAGCUCGCGUGCGGUGGUCGCCAGAAAGCGUAGGGCUUCUUCGCUGCUCUACCUCGUCGCCAUCAGCGUCUCUCUCUCGCUGUCACGAAGCUGUGUGACCGACUGCAGAAACCCUAGGAUCUCCGACUGCUCAGUGGUUUCCAGAUAGGAUGAUCCUCCGGACCCCAGUCCCGAAGAAGAGAAGGCCUGAAUCGGUCGUAGAAGACCUUCGUAGCCCUGUAUCUGACCGCCGCCUUGUGCGCUACGAGGAACCUGGGCCAAUAACAGCCGUCGAACCCUCCGAUGAGAUGGUCUGCACCUACCACUGCCGCCAGAUGAAGAUGAGAGGACCAAAUUCUGAGAUAGUAUUUUAUCAUUGGAGCAAAAACUUGAGGUGUCAAAGGGGCGUGAACAAGCUUUGCAGGAGAGAUUGUUGAAAGAAGUGGAUGAAUUCAUGGAACGAUAUAAGGAAUAAGUAAAACAAUGCAAUGAACUUGAGGUCAACUCAGUAAAGAAGUUGAUUCUCGCAAGAAAGCUGAAUUGUCAUAUACAUCAGCAAAAGAGAGAGCAACAGAUUUAGAAGGGAGGCUUCAGAGAUUAUCUGACAGUGCUGAGAGGGAGAAAAAUAUUCUCAAGGAAAAACGUCAACAUCUGCAAGAUGAUUCUAGCACUUGCAGAGGUUCUGUUGGUUUAUGUUUAAUGUCUUGUAUUUUAUUUUUUUAUCCUUUUCCUAGCAGAGGUUCUGUUGCUUUCAUGAGCAUUUCAUAAACGUCAAUACAUAUUAUUCAUCUAAUCAUCUACUAUUGCAAUUCUGGAUUA